rnacentral:rRNA from 1 species
UGGGGAAUAUUGGACAAUGGGCGCAAGCCUGAUCCAGCCAUGCCGCGUGAGUGACGAAGGUCUUCGGAUUGUAAAGCUCUUUUAGCAGGGAAGAUAAUGACGGUACCUGCAGAAUAAGCCCCGGCUAACUUCGUGCCAGCAGCCGCGGUAAUACGAAGGGGGCUAGCGUUGUUCGGAAUUACUGGGCGUAAAGCGCACGUAGGCGGAUUGAUAAGUUAGAGGUGAAAUCCCGGGGCUCAACCUCGGAACUGCCUUUGAUACUGUUAGUCUCGAGUCCGAUAGAGGUGAGUGGAAUUCCUAGUGUAGAGGUGAAAUUCGUAGAUAUUAGGAAGAACACCAGUGGCGAAGGCGGCUCACUGGAUCGGUACUGACGCUGAGGUGCGAAAGCGUGGGGAGCAAACAGGAUUAGAUACCCCAGUAGUCCCUGAGCGGGCUGGCAAGGCGCAU